rnacentral:rRNA from 1 species
UGAAUACGAGACGCUAAGGCGUCGAAGUAGGGUAUGUCAUACUUCCAAGAAAAGCUUGCACUGUCAUAAAUAAAAAUGCCUGUACCAUAACCGACACAGGUGGGUAAGUAGAGUAUACUAAGGGGCGCGAGAUAACUCUCUCUAAGGAACUCGGCAAAAUAACUCCGUAACUUCGGGAGAAGGAGUGCCUUAUUCUUAAGGUUGCAAUAACAAGAUCCAAGCAACUGUUUAUCAAAAACACAGGUCUCCGCUAAGUCGUAAGACGAUGUAUGGGGGCUGACGCCUGCCCAGUGCCAGAAGGUUAAAGAAGUCGGUUAGCAAUUGCGAAGCUGGUAACUGAAGCCCUGGUGAACGGCGGCCGUAACGAUAACGGUCCUAAGGUAGCGAAAUUCCUUGUCGGGUAAGUUCCGACCCGCACGAAAGGCGUAAUGAUUUGGAUGCUGUCUCGGAGAGAGGCUCGGUGAAAUAGACUUGUCUGUGAAGAUGCGGACUACCUGCACCAGGACAGAAAGACCCUAUGAAGCUUUACUGUAACUUGAAAUUGAAAUUGGACUUUACUCGCGCAGUAUAGGUGGGAGGCGUUGAUUAUAAUCUCGUGGGAUUAUUGGAGCCAUCAGUGAGAUACCACUCUUGUAAUGUUAGAUUUCUAACUUUGAAUCAUUAUCUGGUCAAAGGACAGUUUCAGGCGGGCAGUUUGACUGGGGCGGUCGCCUCCUAAACGGUAACGGAGGCGUACAAAGGUUUCCUCUGAACGGUUAGAAAUCGUAUCUAGAGUGUAAAGGCAUAAGGAAGCUUGACUGUGAGACCUACAAGUCGAGCAGGGACGAAAGUCGGUCUUAGUGAUCUGACGGUACUGAGUGGAAAGGCCGUCACUCAACGGAUAAAAGUUACUCUAGGAUAACAGGCUGAUCUCCCCCAAGAGUUCACAUCGACGGGGAGGCUUGGCACCUCGAUGUCGGCUCAUCGCAUCCUGGGGCGGUAGUACGUCCCAAGGGUUGGGCUGUUCGCCCAUGAAAGCGGUACGCGAGCUGGGUUCAGAACGUCGUGAGACAGUUCGGUCCAUAUCCGGUGUAGGCGCUAGAAUAUUGAGAGGAGCCUUCUUUGGUACGAGAGGACCGAGAAGGACAUACCUCUGGUGUACCAGUUAUCGUGCCAACGGUAAACGCUGGGUAGCUAUGUAUGGAGUGGAUAACCGCUGAAAGCAUCUAAGUGGGAAGCCCACCUCAAGAUAAGUAUUCUCAUC